GCAAGUCUGGUGCCAGCAGCCGCGGUAAUUCCAGCUCCAAUAGCGUAUAUUAAAGUUGUUGCAGUUAAAAGCUCGUAGUUGGACUUCAAGAAGCGCAUCUGGGCAACCAGUUUGCCUUCUACCAGCCCUAGGCUGUUACUGUGAGAAAAUUAGAGUGUUUCAAGCAGGCUUUUGCAGGAAUACAUUAGCAUGGAAUAACGAAUGUGUCUACAAUUUGGUUGAUUGUAGGUUACAAUUAAUAGGGACAGUUGGGGGCAUUAGUAUUUAAUAGUCAGAGGUGAAAUUCUUGGAUUUGUUAAAGACUAACGUAUGCGAAAGCAUUUGCCAAGGAUGUUUUCAUUAAUCAAGAACGAAAGAUAGGGGAUCAAAGACGAUCAGAUACCGUCGUAGUCCUAUCUAUAACUAUGCCGACUAGGGAUUAGUGCGGUCAGUACCGCAUUAGUACCUUAUGAGAAUCAAAGUCUUGGGUUCUGGGGGAGUAUGGUCGCAGACUGAACUUAAGAAUUG
rnacentral:rRNA from 1 species